rnacentral:rRNA from 1 species
UAACGGAUCCUUCGGGAUUAGUGGCGGAGUCCGUGAGUAACACGUGGGAACGUGCCCUUUGGUUCGGAACAACUCAGGGAAACUUGAGCUAAUACCGGAUGUGCCCUUCGGGGGAAAGAUUUAUCGCCAUUGGAGCGGCCCGCGUAGGAUUAGCUAGUUGGUGGGGUAAAGGCCCACCAAGGCUACGAUCCUUAGCUGGUCUGAGAGGAUGAUCAGCCACAUUGGGACUGAGACACGGCCCAAACUCCUACGGGAGGCAGCAGUGGGGAAUCUUGCGCAAUGGGCGAAAGCCUGACGCAGCCAUGCCGCGUGAAUGAUGAAGGUCUUAGGAUUGUAAAAUUCUUUCACCGGGGACGAUAAUGACGGUACCCGGAGAAGAAACCCCGGCUAACUUCGUGCCAGCAGCCGCGGUAAUACGAAGGGGGCUAGCGUUGCUCGGAAUUACUGGGCGUAAAGGGAGCGUAGGCGGAUAGUUUAGUCAGAGGUGAAAGCCCAGGGCUCAACCUUGGAAUUGCCUUUGAUACUGGCUAUCUUGAGUACGGAAGAGGUAUGUGGAACUCCGAGUGUAGAGGUGAAAUUCGUAGAUAUUCGGAAGAACACCAGUGGCGAAGGCGACAUACUGGUCCGUUACUGACGCUGAG